rnacentral:lncRNA from 1 species
AGGCAGGAGAAUGGCUUGAAUCCAAGUGUCAGAGGUUGCAGCGAGCCGAGAUUGUGCCAUUGCACUCCAGCCUGGGCAACUGAGUGGGCACUGUCUCAAAAAAAAAAAAAUUUUUUUUUUUUUUUUGUUGGUAAUUUUUCUUUUUUUCAGACAGUUUCCCUCUCAUCUCCUGGGCUGGAGUGCAAUGGUGUGAUCUCAGCUCACUGAGACCUCUGCUUCCCUAGUUCAAGUGAUUCUGCUGCCUCAGCCUCCGGAGUAGCUGGAAAUCCAGGCCCUCACCACCACACCNNNNNNNNNNNNNNNNNNNNNNNNNUGGGAGUUUCUAUAGUUGGCCUUGUCCUCCGAAGAAUUAUCUUCUGUGCAAUCAAGUUUCUACUUGAUUAUUUGUAUCUUCGGCAUGACUUUCCUGGUGUUAUGUGGAGGAUUAUCAGUACGGUGUUUCUGGGAGUUUCUAUAGUUGGCCUUUUACUCCGAGGAAGUAUCUUCUGUGUGGUCACGUUUCUUCUUGAAUAUUUGUAUUUUGGGAAGGACCUCCUUGUGCUUCUGUGGAGAAUUAUCAUUACUGUGUUUCUAGCAGAUUCUACAGUUGGCCUUUUCUUCCAAAGAAUUAUCUUCUGUGUGAGUAUACUAACUUCCUGUGGAGGUAUACUUCUAAUCAAAAGAAGAAAUUAUUUCAAACAAUUCAUGGUUCUGGAUUUUAUUAUGAAUUAUCUGUUUUACCAAAAACAUCAGGGAAGUCAUUUAUUAGCGUAAGAAUUAUAAAAAUAUCCGCCAUUUACAUUAUGAAAAUUAAACAGGUUGAUGUUUGUUGCUUUGGGUCAAAAAUAAGUUUUUUUAAAACUUUAUGGUCUUUAUCAGAAGUGGAGUAUGAAAUUUUGGCACUUAAAUAGGAAAUUCCGUCUAAACUUUUCUGCUUUAUAAUUCUGUUGUAUGGCUGGAAGGAAAGCUUUCACUGUCCUCUCUAAUGGUUCAUUGCAGAAAUGAGCUAACAACAGACAGCUUAACAGGAGAGGAAAAGCAUAGAACAGGCAUANNNNNNNNNNUAACUUCCAAUCUGUUUUGAAACAGUGGAAUCCCCUGGUGAUAUCUGAGGGGUGUGGUUUCCUCUUGGAGGAGGUUGAUGGUUUCUAAAGAUUAUUAUUAUUUACUGAAAUAUUAUCAAUGUCAUUGACCUUUUCAUUAUUUCAACUGUUACUAUUCCAGGUGGUCACGUUUCUUCUUGAAUAUUUGUAUUUUGGGAAGGACCUCCUUGUGCUUCUGUGGAGAAUUAUCAUUACUGUGUUUCUAGCAGAUUCUACAGUUGGCCUUUUCUUCCAAAGAAUUAUCUUCUGUGUGAGUAUACUAACUUCCUGUGGAGGUAUACUUCUAAUCAAAAGAAGAAAUUAUUUCAAACAAUUCAUGGUUCUGGAUUUUAUUAUGAAUUAUCUGUUUUACCAAAAACAUCAGGGAAGUCAUUUAUUAGCGUAAGAAUUAUAAAAAUAUCCGCCAUUUACAUUAUGAAAAUUAAACAGGUUGAUGUUUGUUGCUUUGGGUCAAAAAUAAGUUUUUUUAAAACUUUAUGGUCUUUAUCAGAAGUGGAGUAUGAAAUUUUGGCACUUAAAUAGGAAAUUCCGUCUAAACUUUUCUGCUUUAUAAUUCUGUUGUAUGGCUGGAAGGAAAGCUUUCACUGUCCUCUCUAAUGGUUCAUUGCAGAAAUGAGCUAACAACAGACAGCUUAACAGGAGAGGAAAAGCAUAGAACAGGCAUAAACAUGGGA